UACGAGGGGGGCGAGCGUUGUUCGGAAUUAUUGGGCGUAAAGGGUGCGUAGGCGGUUCCGCAAGUCCUGUGUGAAAUCUUCGGGCUCAACUCGAAGUCUGCACGGGAAACUGCGGGGCUUGAGUGUGGGAGAGGUGAGUGGAAUUCCCGGUGUAGCGGUGAAAUGCGUAGAUAUGCGGAGGAACACCGAUGGCGAAGGCAAUCCCCUGGGCCUGCACUGACGCUCAUGCACGAAAGCUAGGGGAGCGAAUGGG
rnacentral:rRNA from 1 species